UGUGCCUAAUACAUGCAAGUCGAACGCGUUGGCCCAACUGAUUGAACGUGCUUGCACGGACUUGACGUUGGUUUACCAGCGAGUGGCGGACGGGUGAGUAACACGUAAGUAACCUGCCCCAAAGCGGGGGAUAACAUUUGGAAACAGAUGCUAAUACCGCAUAGACAAUUUAGAAUCGCAUGAUUCAAAUUUAAAAGAUGGCUUCGGCUAUCACUUUGGGAUGGACCUGCGGCGCAUUAGCUUGUUGGUAGGGUAACGGCCUACCAAGGCUGUGAUGCGUAGCCGAGUUGAGAGACUGAUCGGCCACAAUGGAACUGAGACACGGUCCAUACUCCUACGGGAGGCAGCAGUAGGGAAUCUUCCACAAUGGGCGCAAGCCUGAUGGAGCAACACCGCGUGAGUGAAGAAGGGUUUCGGCUCGUAUAAGCUCUGUUGUUAGAGAAGAACGUGCGUGAGAGCAACUAGUUCACGCAGUGACGGUAUCUAACCAGAGAGGCACGGCUAACUACGUGCCAGCAGCCGCGGUAGACGUAGGUGGCAAGCGUCAUCCGGAUCUAUUGGGCGUACAGCGAGCGCAGGCGGAUCUGAUACGUCUGAUGUGACAG
rnacentral:rRNA from 2 species